rnacentral:rRNA from 2 species
ACACGUGGGCAACCUGCCUGUAAGACUGGGAUAACUUCGGGAAACCGAAGCUAAUACCGGAUAGGAUCUUCUCCUUCAUGGGGGAUGAUUGAAAGAUGGUUUCGGCUAUCACUUACAGAUGGGCCCGCGGUGCAUUAGCUAGUUGGUGAGGUAACGGCUCACCAAGGCAACGAUGCAUAGCCGACCUGAGAGGGUGAUCGGCCACACUGGGACUGAGACACGGCCCAGACUCCUACGGGAGGCAGCAGUAGGGAAUCUUCCGCAAUGGACGAAAGUCUGACGGAGCAACGCCGCGUGAGUGAUGAAGGCUUUCGGGUCGUAAAACUCUGUUGUUAGGGAAGAACAAGUAUGAGAGUAACUGCUCGUACCUUGACGGUACCUAACCAGAAAGCCACGGCUA